GUCUACGGCCAUGCCACCCAGAACGUGCCGAUCUCGUCUGAUCUUGAAAACUAAGCAGGGUUGAACCUGGUUAGUACUUGGAUGGGAGACCACCUAGGAAUAUCAAGUGCUGUAGGCA
rnacentral:rRNA from 1 species